rnacentral:rRNA from 1 species
GUCUACGGCCAUACCACCCUGAUCGCGCCCGAUCUCGUCUGAUCUCGGAAGCUAAGCAGGGCCGGGCCUGGUUAGUACCUGGAUGGGAGACCACCACGUUCAUCCUCCUACUACUCUAAAUG